CUGCGGAGGAUCAUUACCGAGUGAGGGCCCUCUGGGUCCAACCUCCCACCCGUGUUUAUCGUACCUUGUUGCUUCGGCGGGCCCGCCUCACGGCCGCCGGGGGGCAUCCGCCCCCGGGCCCGCGCCCGCCGAAGACACCAUUGAACGCUGUCUGAAGAUUGCAGUCUGAGCAUCUUAGCUAAAUCAGUUAAAACUUUCAACAACGGAUCUCUUGGUUCCGGCAUCGAUGAAGAACGCAGCGAAAUGCGAUACGUAAUGUGAAUUGCAGAAUUCAGUGAAUCAUCGAGUCUUUGAACGCACAUUGCGCCCCCUGGUAUUCCGGGGGGCAUGCCUGUCCGAGCGUCAUUGCUGCCCUCAAGCACGGCUUGUGUGUUGGGCCUCCGCCCCCCGGCUCCCGGGGGGCGGGCCCGAAAGGCAGCGGCGGCACCGCGUCCGGUCCUCGAGCGUAUGGGGCUUCGUCACCCGCUCCGUAGGCCCGGCCGGCGCCCGCCGGCGACCCCCCUCAAUCUUUCCAGGUUGACCUCGGAUCAGGUAGGGAUACCCGCUGAACUUAAGCAUAUCAAUAAGCGGAGGAAAAGAAACCAACAGGGAUUGCCUCAGUAACGGCGAGUGAAGCGGCACGAGCUCAAAUUUGAAAGCUGGCUCCUUCGGGGUCCGCAUUGUAAUUUUGCAGAGGAUGCUUCGGGAGCGGCCCCCAUCUAAGUGCCCUGGAACGGCCGUCAUA
rnacentral:rRNA from 1 species